UACGUAGGGGGCGAGCGUUGUCCGGAAUUACUGGGCGUAAAGGGUGCGUAGGCGGCCGAUUAAGUCAGAUGUGAAAAACCACGGCUCAACUGUGGGGGUGCAUAUGAAACUGGUUGGCUUGAGUGCAGGAGAGGAAAGUGGAAUUCCUAGUGUAGCGGUGAAAUGCGUAGAGAUUAGGAGGAACACCAGUGGCGAAGGCGACUUUCUGGACUGUAACUGACGCUGAGGCACGAAAGCGGGGGGAGCAAACAGGAUUAGAUACCCUGGUAGUCCACGCCGUAAACGAUGGAUACUAGGUGUAGGGGGCAUCGACCCCCCCUGUGCCGGAGUUAACGCAAUAAGUAUCCCGCCUGGGGAGUACGGCCGCAAGGCUGAA
rnacentral:rRNA from 1 species